rnacentral:rRNA from 1 species
AGUAAUGUAUGGGGAUCUGCCCGAUAGAGGGGGAUAACUACUGGAAACGGUGGCUAAUACCGCAUAAUGUCUACGGACCAAAGCAGGGGCUCUUCGGACCUUGUACUAUCGGAUGAACCCAUAUGGGAUUAGCUAGUAGGUGGGGUAAAGGCUCACCUAGGCGACGAUCUCUAGCUGGUCUGAGAGGAUGAUCAGCCACACUGGGACUGAGACACGGCCCAG